rnacentral:misc_RNA from 1 species
UCAUAGAUUAGGUACCCGCCGAAAAGCUCACGGUCACGGACAUAUAUAGUGAAAUCAACAACGAAGUCUGUAAGAAAAAGAAUAAUCUUGUUUUUUAUGUUCAAAAAUUUAAAAAUUUAUAAAUUUGAAGAUCGGAAAAUUUAAAAAAAGAAUUAGAAAUUUAGGAAUCAGAUUUGAAAAUUUGAAAACUUGCUUACACUUUUACUACAGUUUGAAUCUGACAGUUGAUUGUAACAUUCCCGCGCUGAAUUGAUUUAAAGCUUCACUAAAAAUAUUUCUAAAUGUCUGAUUCAAUUUUGAUUAUAACUUACGUUAUCAGAGGGUAAGUAAUAUGAUAGACAUACGAGACAAAAUGAACCGCGCCCCGAAUCGUCACACAAUUGGCUGUUACCAUUCGAGCUUGGACCAAUAGUAGGGCUGAGGUUCUGCAACGGGUCGCGACGGUGAACCAGUGUGGUCACGUAAGCCCACCAUACCGCAUGGUGGAUAGAUGUUUCCUUUAACUCGACGUUGUAUAAAAUGUUAUAAUCGUGUAUUGUUGUUAUUUUGCAAAAGGGAACAACGAUCCUGUGGAACAACAAUUUUCAGUCGUGCACACGAAUAUUGGCACAUGUUUGUUAUUGUCUGAACAUCGUUGGAAUACAAUCGAAUCAUAAUACACGCAAUUCAGGAGAAAUUGGAGCUUUCAAUAUUUGCUCCUUGAUAUUAAAGUACAGUUGAAAAUGAAGUGGUCACCAGGUGCUUUGUUUUGUGAACAAGUUGGUGAACUCACUCGAGUAUUUUCACAAUGGAACGAGUGUGAACAAACUGUGGUACUAUAUGCACUACUUCGUCGCAUUCCUGCAGUUCAAGCAAGGUUUCUUGCACAAGCAGUGCAGCAUUCCUUGCACUCUGUUUCUGAACUGGAUACACAAGAAUUAAAUGCCAAUAAUCCAGCAUUUAUUAAUUCACUGCUCUCAGAAUCGACCGAAGUUGCCAUUAAUCAACUUCUAACACAUUUGCCGUUAUUAAGGCCUGGGAAUAUAGAGUGCAAACAAUGCUACUUAGUAGCUAUACCAGAAUUAGUAAGCCACUGUGUGACUACUGGGCAAUAUACAGAACAAACUCAACAACUUUUAAGUUAUUGUUUGAUCCAUCCAGCUAUAACUAGUCAAGAUAGACGUUCUUUAACCCAAUGGCUUCGACAUCUUGAAGAACGUAUUAGUGGUACACCACCGAUACACAGCCUUGAGGAAUACACCAAUACUACUAUUAGAUGGGACAAUGCAUGGCAGAGAAAUUCUAAACAACAACAAACUGACCAAACAAGUUUAUUUGGUACACAACCAGGUACUGCCUUCAAUUUGCAAUUUCCCCCGCCUGUAACUCGCCAACGGCGAUCAAAUAGUCUAACACCACCGGUUGCACCUCCUCAUCAUUUAGAAGUCGUUGAUCGUACUAACAACGUAAAUUGUACAACGAGACACAAACCCCGAAGUUUUAGUGUCUCCGGAGAUCAUACAAGCAAUCUUAUUGGAUUAGGCCCAUUGAGUCCACAAAGCUCUUGUGCAAGUAGCGGUAGUGAAGGACGUUUGGACGAAACAUCUAACCGAUCACUUGCUAGUGGUAUGAGAGAUGUUCCAUCAUGGCUUAAAACUUUACGUCUUCAUAAAUAUAGUUAUCUAUUUGUUACUCUCAGUUACGAAGAAAUGCUACAAUUGACAGAAGAACAGUUAGCAGAACAGGGUGUAACAAAAGGAGCCAGACACAAAUUGGCCUUAUCUAUUGCUAAGUUGCAACAACGCUAUACGACGCUUUUAAAUUUAGAGAAAGAUUUAUUACAACCAACACGUGAUAACACACAGUCAGCGUCAUUUUUACAAGGGCCAACAGUACUGGUCAAUACAAUCGACGAAUUAAAAACAAUCUUAGCCACACCUAUGAAACCAAGCCAGGAAAAUGAUCCUCAAGACAUACCUGCGCAGUUUACUAAGGUUCUUGGUAAAUUGUGUAGCAGAUUGGCAUUGGAUAGCGUGGAUGACGGUAUUUUGUGCGCUUGUAUUAACAUAUUAGAGAAAAUAUUGCAGCAUGAUUGCUUUACUCCAAAUCAAAAAGAAAAGGUACAACAAUGGCGUAGCAGACUUGGAAAUCCACGACCAGCUCCAAAAUGGCAACAUAAUUAUGGAUAUAAUAACAGGAGGUACUGUAAUCCUCAACAGCACAAUAGAAAGCCAAGUUUAAACCUAGGACAUAUUCAUAAUACACAUCCGCAAAGCAAUUCUUUUGUGGUUAGCACUCACAGAAAUAGUAUAUCUACUCCGUAUUUACAAAAUAAUCAGAACCAAAGUGUAAAUCAGAAUACUUUACGUCCGGUCCAUGUAACCGAGAAACGACCUAGUUUACAAGAAUCUAGUUUACAGCAAUUACAAAGGACGUUACAACGUACAUAUAGCGCACCGAGGGAUCAUUUUCUCAGUCAAAGCGGUAACAACACAUCUGAAACGACAGAACCAGAGAUCAACUCUCGUCUCGAAUCUCUUUGUUUAAGAAUGACGGAGCAAGCUAUCGGAGGUUUCGGUGAGGCCUAAUAAAAUUCACUUUUGUUGACUGGAUCUACACAGAGUAAGUCCUCUUAAAAAGAAACAAAUGAAAAGAAAAAAUUUCUAAAGCGACACACAAAUAUACAUACACACAUAUACAAUGCGCGUGUGUCUGAGCUCCGUUUUUUAAAGCCGAAGGCAAGACUGACUUUCGUAGAUCUUGCGAAUGAAGAGUUCGACAGCUAUGAUAGUGCUGACAGUUGUACGUAUUCACGUACACACAUUCUCACGCUUUAAUAGCCCUACCAAAUGAAAAAUGUCCGACAUUUGAGACAUUACCAAGGAAACUCGGUUCGCGACGUCUGUAUGACAUUCGUGAAGGGAAAAACAACAAAAAAAAUAAUAUUUUUUAUUAUAUCCGAUGCAAUUAUAUACUAUUUAAUGAAACUGACAGAAUUUGGCAAGCCAAAUGCUAUUAGGAAGAUAGAUUCUUUCCUUAACUAUUUGCUGCAUCUAUAUAAAUGUAUUAUAUAAAGAAUAUAUAUGUAUACACGUAUGAUAGAAUUUUAUGGGAAGCGGAUAAAAAAAAAAUCAUAUAACGUAUAUUAGAAAAAAAGGGGGAUGAAAAAGGUACACCAUUAUUAUCGUGCGAUGUUUGCAAUAUUAUUUUUCGUGUUAUCCAUUUCGGGAAAUGGAAUUCGUCUGAUUUUAAGCGCCAGGACACAUUAUACUAAUGUAAUGUAAUUCAUUUUAAUGAACUGACUGAUUUUACUUCUUUUUAACAUUAUUAUUAUUAUUAUAUUAUUAUUUUUCAUUCUACUCUUAUCACCACCGCCGCUGUUGCUAUUACUAUCACUUAGGGAUGUGCAGGUGCGAGGUUCGAGUCGGGUAAUAUCGAGCAUAGUCGUAAAAAAUCUGGUCAAAAAUGGUGAGACUAAAUCCGUAGCGAAGAAAGUUUCCGCUUACCGCACGACGCUAUCGUCUUAAAAUACACAAAAUAUAUUCCUCGAAAUAUUUGAUAUAUCUGUAUGAAAAGUUAAGUCAGUUUCAAUUGGGCUAUAAAGUAUAAUAUAACAAGUAUCCAGAAAUUUAAAAGAUCGAAGGGUUUCAGAUUCAGUGUAAUAUUAAGAAGUCACUGUGAAUUGUUUAUAAAAGAAGAGGAAAUUUUGAUAUUUUUAUAUUGCAAUUUAUAGUCAACCUGAAACUGAUUUUCCUGGAGCAAUUUAUUUUCAGAAUAUUUUGUGAUAUUUUUAAUAGUUAUUCUGAAGUAUAUGUGAGACGGUCGUAGUAUUUUUGCUUCGUGACAAAUUUUGAAAGUAUAAAGAUAGUUAAAGAUCUUCACCGAAGUUUGCACACCUACGAUCGUGUGAAUGUGAUUCGCGUCUCCGCCUGAGUUACUCGAACCGACAACUUGGAUACAUUAAAUCACUCGCACAUCCCUAUCAUACUUUCUGUCUCCACCAUUCGUAUUGUUCCCAUCGAUAGGUUUUACCACUAUAAGUAUCCUUAUCGCUGUUCACGAUAUUAUUCUGAUCGUCGUUAUAAUUACCGCGUACUCUUACUACCACUGCUAUUUGUUUUUUUAGAACGACUAACAUGUAUGCUUUGACACCCGGUUACUACACUUUUGACCCUUAAUCGUUACCGCUGCUUCUACUAUCACCAUCCGCUACUAUGCUAUCUACUAUUACCACUAUACUACUAGUAGCACCACACUAUUACUACUAUCAGUAAUUGUAAUACUACUAAUUAUACUAUCUCCACUGUCGCGGUAUUAUUACUGUAAUUCUUCUUAGAGAAGAAAAGGCAUACUUAAAAAGAACGAUUCGUCACGCUUCGUUAUAUGCGUUGAAAAGAAUGAAGAACACUACCGUAACACGUUUUAAAUUCGCCUCUGCUAUUGCUCGGAAAUGAAAGCACAUUGUGGUGUGUAUGCUUCGUAGUUUGCGCACAGAUCUCGUGAUUUUUUAUACUCAUAUGCAACGAGUGAGAAAUGGGAAAAAUAAAAAAAAAUGAAAGACGAGGGGGGUGCGGGUAACCCGAUACGAUUCGGUAAAAUUCGGGAGAGGAACCUGUUGUGCUUGAAAUGUUAUUGUGGAGGUCCUAGAUCUCCCUAGAUUAUAUCUCUAAAUAACUAUGUCCCUAAAUGGACUCUAAUAUCAAUGUAUCUUUAAAUUCUUGAGUCUUCUUGGAGUCUUAUUUCUUGAAAUUAUUUUUGUUACAAUUUUAUAUGAGUUGAAACGAUAGCAACGCUGUGUGACUAGCGGAAAAUUUUGAUUCUCGCUAAAAUCUUUCAUCAGGUUCCCAGACGAGUUUUGCCGAAUGUCGCCCGUAAUGCCGGGUACCCGCGCCCUCAGAAAUUAUACAAUAACGGAUUUUAAAGGCCUUAAAGGGUGUAUCGAGCAAAUGCAUAAAAAGAGGGGUAUAAGACUAAUUACUAUAUACACGUAGUGAAAACACGCCGAGAUACAAAGAGGGUGGAAAAAACGCGGUAAACUUGCGUCGUACUUUUAUGACGCGACAUCGAAAUCUGUGGCUUUAAAUUAUAAGCAUACAUCAUACUACUCUGAAAUAUACAUAUGCACUUAUUAAGCAUCUUUUAAACGUAGCAUAAUAUUUUUUCGUGCAAGAUGAUAGGGAAAAGAGAGAAGUUAGGGAAAACGUGGUAAAACGAAGAAGGUUAAAUUUUCGUAAUUAAAUCUAGUAUUAGCGAUAAACCGAUAACGUAUCGAUAACACGCGAAACAAAGAAAUAAACGACAAAAAAAAAAUGAUAUAUACAAACGAAAGACUGAACAAUUCACGCGCCCGUGAGAGCCGUGAGCGAUGAAUUUUGGACGUUUUGCAUUCGUGUAUUAGAACGAGAGAGCUACACGGCCGCGUGAAUGAAAAACAAUUGGAAGACUGCGGAAGGAAAAAAACCUGUCAAAAUAUUAAGAAUUAGCGAAAAUGAGUGAGAGAGUGCGUGCGAGAGAGAGAAAGAGAGAGAGUGCGGUAUCGUGUUAAUUACGAGAGUAAUUGCUAGUUGUAUCUAGGUUGUAACGAUUUAUUCUAACGAUUAUAAUAAUCAUACUGGGACGAUAAAUUUACGUAAUGGCGUGCGGUGAUCUUUCGACUAAUUAAUUAGCCUGUUCGAGCGAGAAGAAUUUGUUUACACGACGAAUAUAGAUAGAACGAUCGGAAUACGAUGUUUUGCGGUGAUUAUUUGUUCCACCUUUUUUCUACAUCGCGACAAACAUGAACAUACACACACAUUUGUAUGGCAUACACGUGCACGAGUAUGCACGCAGGCGCUUGCUCACUAAGGAUGUUUGCUGGUAGCCCGUUGGCUGCACUGCCGAUAAGAAAAGGAUGCAUUUUGCAGUUAGAGCCGAUCAAAUUUUACGUACAUAUGCGUCUUACGGAUAUACAGGGUGUUUCAGUAAUCAAUCAGGAAAUUAAUAAGUUGAUCUUCAAACUGAAAUAAAAUAUUUAGUUUCAUAUGUCAGACAAAUUGUAUCUCUUUUUAAAAUGCUACAGAUUUUGUUUAAAGUAUUUUUUAAAUAAUCAAUGAGUUAUUUUAUGUAUUACUUAUUGACUUAUCCUGUAUAUCCUUCGGGUCAGCUUCAGAGACGUGGAACCGAACAGAGAUCCAAAUGUAUCUUCCUACGUUGUAAAGUAUGUUUUAGUUAUACAGAGUGUCUCAAUACUCGAGUACCACUCGUUCAAAUACCACUAGAAUUUAGAUCGGGUAUUCGAAUACCGGUAGAAAGAUACUUUCGGGUUUCUCUCCGAUCCGAUCUUUUCCGAAGCGAUCCGAGAUCGUAAUCUCGGGUACCCGCACAUCCGUAUUGCUCACACAUUCACUCGUGUUCAUGCACAUUAGGAACAAACAAGUGUGUACUGGCGUUAGGCAUUAGGGUGCUUGUUAAGAAUAAUGUGAUAAUUUGUAAUCUGAACAAGGACGGUGUAUUGUUGGAGACACGCUCGCUAACAAAAUCAUGAACUAGAAUGCGGACUAUUGAUUUGUGUGACCGAAGGUCACUCCUUGCGAAUCGAACCACAGGUCCUGGCAAUGCAGAUCUAUUAUUCAGACUGCUUUUAUACUGUCUGGAACAACGUCAGACUCGUAGACCUCAGAAACUCCACUCUUGAGGAGUCUAUGUGGCGCGCCAGGCGCGUGAGCAGCGAACGUGUUAACUCCACAAUCAAAUUAUCUUUUGUUAAUAAGACAAUUUGAGUUUAAAACUUUUUAUGUCUACUUAAUCUACUGACAACCGUCUUUGUAACGUUUUGACUGGACCCAGACGGGUUUUCAUUAAAUGUUAAAACUUUUAGAGAAAAAGACUGGAGCUAGUUAACUCUUUCGUUACCGAGAAUGACUACAGUUAUCUAUUAUUAAAAUAUCUGUAUAUGUGCUAUAGGUAAUUAUAGUCAUUCUAUGCGUUUGUUAAAUGAGAAAAAACAGCUAAAAUUUUUAAAUGAAAUCUUAUGUGUAAAAUUGAAAGAACUUUAUUGUACUUAUAAAGAUUGUUUUAUUAAAAGUCACCGUAACGAAAGGGUUAUAGAUUAGGUUCUUAUAGACCUUCUUUUCGCGUGCGAGUUGAAAUUCUCGAAAGGUCACAUUUCUUUUUAUAAAUCUCUUUUACGUUACUACACGUCACAACGCCCUGAGACUGCCCUAAUGCUCAUCUCUGGUGCACACUCAUACGUACAUAAAAAACACGUACAGUACAUUGUUCGACUAGAAUCCCAAGAAUGUUUUUGUACACACACAAGUAAUUUCAAGAGAGACGGUCAAAAGCUAGUCAAACAAAUACAAUUUCUAAUUUCUACCACUUUUAAAUGUGUACAGACGUUAUUUGUACAUUAAUUUCGCGCGAUUAACGCAAGAAACAAGGGAAAUGGAAAACGUGCGCGAUCGAAAAAGAACCGAACGAAAUAAAAGGGUAGAAAGAGAGAAAAGGAGGAAAGUAGACGGAGUAAAAAAAUAUGUACGACGAACAGUUUUACGUCACGCAUGCAAAAAAAGAAAAAACAAAAAAAAAUAAGUUGAAAGACUGCUUCCAAACGACUUCAGGAAAUUCGUGCAACGUAGAAUUAUUUCGUACUGAAACGCAGUAUCUAAAUAAAUAUGCGAUCGAUUUUAAAAAAAAGGCAGGACCUGAACUAAAGAAACGCAAAGAGAUAUUAUCCGCAUAUGAAACGAACGUGUAGCAAAGAUAAAAGAACAAAGAAGAGCGUAACGGGAGCGUGAUUCUGCCAAAGAUCGACGGCCGCUGAAAGAAAAUGAAUGUUGCUAAUUCGAAGUAAGAUCAUGUAUGACCCGAAAGAAACGUUGUACUUACACUGUGGUUAUAUCCGCUGAAAAGUGUUUCGAGUCGAUAAUUACGAAAGACUCUCGUUAUAUUGCCGCGGACAAAGGUGCAGUAGAAAACUACUUUGCUGAAAGAAUUUCUCAUUUGAUAUGAUUUACAUGGAUCUCGGGUUCUAGGAUGAGAAGAAACUACCGGUGUGCGCAGAAGUCUAAAGGCGGCAAUAUAACGAGAGUCCGUAUUUAGAUUGAAUCGAGAAACAAUUUCGGCGGAGUGGUAUCGGUGGCUUUCGGCAGAAACACUGCUUAUAUUGCGAUUUGGCAUCGAAUGGAUAAGAGAUCGUUUAAGUAAUAAGUUACCGGUGAAAUUUUUGAAAUUGGCGCGCAAACUGUCCUUUUGAAGAUUUUUUCAUGUGAUUGUAUUUAGAUCGGUUGUCUGACAUUGUUAGUCAUGGAGAUAUCAGAUUUCUAAAUUUAGAAAUUUAGGAAAAUGGUAAUUUGAAAAUUUAGGAACAUAAUUUCAAAUUUUCAAAUUGAUGUGACUACUCAUCACUGUAUAGGUGCAGUUUAUCGAUAGUUUAGAUAACGUCCCUAUCUUUGGCGAGAUCAGAGCUCAAAGAAGUGAUGGUAUUAACAUUGCGUCAUUUAAGACUCUUGUUACAUUGCCAAAAGUUUUUUCCUAAAAACCAUUAGUUUGAUAUGUACGCGCUAUGACAGCGAAUGAACCGCUAGUGCGCAUGCGUCACGGUGGUGGGAGAACCACCGGUGUGCAUGCGUCUUGUAGUGGGGGAUCAGUAGUGCACAUCAACGAUAGCAGAGAGCGUCGCUCAUGGACGUGACAGCUCGUAAACAUGGCAAUGUAACGAGAGUCCACUGUGAUUUGUAAAGUUUAUUACAGAUUGAAAGGUAAAAAUUAUGGAAUUCGUAGUUAAAUUUAUUCUAAUUUAAUUGAUAUUUUGCUACAUACUUAAAGCGUACAAUAAGCAGGAUGUAAAUAACAGACUACUUAAUGCCCACGUCUGUUUAUAAAUCAAUCAUGGAAAUAACGGUAUUUAUAUGAAUUUUAAUGAAUUUGUAUUAUAAUCAUGAAACUGAACGAAUCGAUAAAAUUCUUGAAAUGUAUAAUAGAAUGUUGAAUGAAUUCAGAACACCUUCAAAAGGAUAGUUCACGAAGGACGCGUGUCGUUUCAAGUUUCUAUAGAAUAAUAAAUUCAGUCGAGUUAUAUCCACGAUUCAGAACUUAUCCAUUCGUUGUGUUUGCUUUAAAUCCGCUUUAGAGAAGAAUUUGUACCACGACGGACGAGUAAAGUUGUUAGAACGCUGCUAUAGCAUAUAAGAUAUUCUCUUUGGCCGGAUGCUUGUGUUUCGACAACCACUUUUCAACGCAAGUAUCUAUGUGCGUCGUGUAUUUGGAGUAGCGUGAAAUGUGUAGUAAUUCGAAGGAACGUUAACACGUUGAAUGCCAUAACGGCCAGUGGUGGUCGCCAUGACGGUAAAACAGAUUUUCGGUAAAAAAUUUUGCAGUACUAAGAUUAUCAAAUUUUUAAGUAUAAAGAAAAAUGUUAACUUGCAAGUUUUACAAAAUGUGCCACCAUUAAGUUAAAAAGUGAAUUUGAAUAAUUGCAAAUGUAGAGUUGCAUUACUGGUUGCUGUGAACAACACCCUAAGUAUUUCCACUAUGGAGCUAACUUGGUCAAACCGUGACAAAUAUGGUGUCAAUUUAGGACGUCAACAUAUUAACGUAUAGAAUCUAUGGUGCAUCCCUAGUGGAGAUAACAGAAGUCAUGAAAUGCUGCUCUAAAAUAUAGCACGCCGUACUACAUACGUCCGUUUCCAUUGCGGCAUUUAACGUGUUAAGAAAAGGAAAAAUAUGUCGGCCAGCGACGUGUAUCAAAGCAAGUUUCCGGCCGAAAGCGUCAUUGACGAUAUGUAAGCCCAGGUAGCAACAAACGGUGAUCCGUCGACUGAUUUGCUUUUUUUCGUCGAGCUAGGAGAUAAACUAGGAAGUUGAUUAGGUAUGUUUUUGUAAAAGCGAAGAAACAGAAGCAGCUAGAAAAGUGAAAACGAAAAUCUGUGUAAUCGUGUGUGUGGUACUUGCCUCCAUUUCCCCAAAAGGAGGGAGAGCUUUCCUGCUCUUUCCGAAGCCUGGUCCAGACCUGUCUAAUGUGCAAAAAUGACACGAGUCGUACGUGAUGCUUUUAAAUUUUUUUCAAUGAAAAAUUUGAGAUACAAAUUGUCAUCUAGGAUGAUGGUGGGUCUGGAUUAGGGUUUAAGGCGUGCUUUGGUUGGCAAACGUGAAUACUGUGUGUAACUCGAAUGUGAAAUAACGAAGGUGCACGUAAAUUCAUGCUGGUGUCUCUAACCUAGAUUUUUUUGUAUCAGUAAGGAACAUUUACGAUUUAAUCUUAUUAAUAUUUCCCAUUCUUUGGACAUUUUUAAGUUAUCUCUUGAGUGAAACAUUUUAGAAUAUCUCGACAAUGCGGUUGUGAAACAACCGCGAAUUGCUUAUUAAUACACGAAAUGUAUUUCACUUGAUUCGGAUAAAAGCGAGACAGAAUUUUCGCGAACGUAAAGAGUGAUUUUGACAAGCUGAGUUUGAUGAUAGGUAAUUGUUGCGUGGAUUAAAAUGUCCAUCGAAUUUUCGUCGAAAAAAGAAAAGAAUGGAUUGAGAGUAUAUUGCGUUGUCGCCAAAGAAUGCCUCUGCUACACAGCGCCUUCUGUUAUUAAGAGACGUAGCUUUUGAAUUGUCAGAUUGCUAACUGGGAUAUUUUAGUUACGUAAGCUGGAUAACUUGUAAAAAUGCAAUUUUUGUACUGUUAUAACGUUAAAUAGACGAAGGUAUACUGACGUUGUAGCGUGAAAGAACAUUUUUCAAUAAAAAAUUUUUCAUACGCAGA